GACGAACGCUGGCGGCGUGCCCAACACAUGCAAGUCGAGCGAGUGAAUCUCCUUCGGGAGUGAAGCUAGCGGCGGACGGGUGAGUAACACGUGGGCAACCUGCCUCAUAGAGGGGAAUAGCCUUCCGAAAGGAAGAUUAAUACCGCAUAAGAUUGUAGCUUCGCAUGAAGUAGCAAUUAAAGGAGCAAUCCGCUAUGAGAUGGGCCCGCGGCGCAUUAGCUAGUUGGUGAGGUAACGGCUCACCAAGGCGACGAUGCGUAGCCGACCUGAGAGGGUGAUCGGCCACAUUGGGACUGAGACACGGCCCAGACUCCUACGGGAGGCAGCAGUGGGGAAUAUUGCACAAUGGGGGAAACCCUGAUGCAGCAACGCCGCGUGAGUGAUGACGGCCUUCGGGUUGUAAAGCUCUGUCUUCAGGGACGAUAAUGACGGUACCUGAGGAGGAAGCCACGGCUAACUACGUGCCAGCCGCCGCCGUAAGAC
rnacentral:rRNA from 1 species